GUACUGAAACCAAAAAAGGGUUUGUAAAACAAACCCUCUCUUCCCAUCGUUGAUGACACGGAUAUUCUUCUACACUGAAAGCAUUGAGCUGCUAUGACAAAAAUGGAGAAGGCGUGGUCCUGAUGACGAUCAAAAAAAAAAUCUAAUUUCUCUUUAGAAUUCAUUGUAAACAAUCUGAACCCAACGCCCAGAAAUCGCUCGCUUCUACACUAGUAGGGAGAGCAUCAAGCUUAUGUGUUUUGCAGGUCUAGAUGUGGGGAGGAGGGUAGUACACAUUAGUACGCUGGUAGUACAUGCUGCAUCAGCCUUCAUAAGAGUUUCAAUUCUAUUAUUUUUUAAGAGUUUUUUUCAUGAGCGGUCGAUGGGAUUUCGAUAAAGUUGAGACCCCUGAGGUUACACUGUUGAUGUCGUUGCGUCGAUCUACGGUUUGUUGAGUGAAGUCUGCUGACAGUUUGUGGGUGGUUUGUAAUGCAUUCCUUCAGUGAGUCCUUGUUUAAGAUCGAAGCAGUGGACAUGGAGGUGGGCCGCUUACUGCAUUUGGUUCCACGUCUAUUUGGGUGUACCAUUGUUGCAUUCACGCUAGAUAGAACGGGACCGAAGAAUCACCACUGAAGCACUAUUCUGUUUCUUUUCUUUCUUUUCGGUAGUCAUUGAUCAAUGGGUAAGUGACUUGUUUUUGAACUUGGUAUCUAUAAUCCUCCCACCAACUACCUUUUCCUUCUGCAUCAGAGGAGUGAGGGGCUGCAGUUGAUGAACUCGAGAUGCUCAUAAGAUACUUAAGUAUUGAGAUGUCGUGAAGAUCGUGAUAUAGGGAUCCGCGACGAGCCAACUGAUACGCACAUGUACUUGCAACAUCAGUUAUGGAAAAUUAUCUCUUCGACCAAGCAAUCGGCCCGCUGCACUGUUUCAACCGGUAACUCAUUCGACGGUAUAAAUUACUCGGUAGGAGCCACACAACCUCACAAUGUUAGCACUCAUGCUGCGCUCAUCUUGCAUUGCUUACGGUUGUUGGGAGUAGUUAAUACACAUCACACAACCAGCUGAGAGUUAAUUACAAGAAGACAUUACUUGUAGUACACUGGAAGGCGUAACCCAGAUAUCUUUCGUCCCAUUUCCCAAUCAGAUGGUAACCGCACACAAUGUGGACCACGGCUAUGUAGCAAGAUAUUAUCUGGGGUUUUUUUAAAGCAACCUGUCCAAGAUUAUGCCAUUGCAGGUCAUGCAGGAAAGGACUGCUGUGUGGAAAGAUUAGAAUGAUACCAAUGCGGUUCUCAAUAAUGUGCAGUGUCCAAGCCAACACUAGGCGAGCGGCAAACUUAUUCGCAACCGUGACAGAGAUAUUUCUGCGACAUAUCUGACUGCUUCUACGCACAUUUCAUUUUACAAGCGCGAAGAACAGUAAGAUGGUUGCAACAAUUUCCAAUAAUUGCUACAGCAUUGCGGUGCAAUUGCACUGUUUUAAUCUA